rnacentral:rRNA from 1 species
GGUGCUUGCAUCAUGAUUUACAUUUGAGUGAGUGGCGAACUGGUGAGUAACACGUGGGAAACCUGCCCAGAAGCGGGGGAUAACACCUGGAAACAGAUGCUAAUACCGCAUAACAACUUGGACCGCAUGGUCCGAGUUGAAAGAUGGCUUCGGCUAUCACUUUUGGAUGGUCCCGCGGCGUAUUAGCUAGAUGGUGGGUAACGGCUCACCAUGGCAAUGAUACGUAGCCGACCUGAGAGGGUAAUCGGCCACAUUGGGACUGAGACACGGCCCAAACUCCUACGGGAGGCAGCAGUAGGGAAUCUUCCACAAUGGACGAAAGUCUGAUGGAGCAACGCCGCGUGAGUGAAGAAGGGUUUCGGCUCGUAAAACUCUGUUGUUAAAGAAGAACAUAUCUGAGAGUAACUGUUCAGGUAUUGACGGUAUUUAACCAGAAAGCCACGGCUAACUACGUGCCAGCAGCCGCGGUAAUACGUAGGUGGCAAGCGUUGUCCGGAUUUAUUGGGCGUAAAGCGAGCGCAGGCGGUUUUUUAAGUCUGAUGUGAAAGCCUUCGGCUCAACCGAAGAAGUGCAUCGGAAACUGGGAAACUUGACUGCAGAAUA